GUCGAGAAUAAUUCACAAUGGACGAAAGUCUGAUGGUGCAACGCCGCGUGGAGGAUGACGGUCUUCGGAUUGUAAACUCCUGUCAUCCGGGAGUAAGACCUGGCUGUGAAUAGCAGACAGGGUUGAUAGUACCGGAAGAGGAAGGGACGGCUAACUUCGUGCCAGCAGCCGCGGUAAUACGAAGGUCCCGAGCGUUGUUCGGAAUCACUGGGCGUAAAGGGAGCGUAGGCGGCGUGGUAAGUCAGAUGUGAAAUCCCGGGGCUCAACCCCGGAACUGCGUCCGAUACUGCCGUGCUAGAGGAUUGGAGAGGUAGCUGGAAUUCUUGGUGUAGCAGUGAAAUGCGUGGAGAUCAAGAGGAACACUCGUGGCGAAAGCGAGCUACUGGACAAUAUCUGACGCUGAGGCUCGAAGGCCAGGGUAGCGAAAGGGAUUAGAUACCCUAGUAGUCC
rnacentral:rRNA from 1 species